rnacentral:rRNA from 1 species
UACGUAGGGUGCGAGCGUUGUCCGGAAUUAUUGGGCGUAAAGAGCUCGUAGGCGGUUUGUUGCGUCGGCUGUGAAAUCCCGAGGCUCAACCUCGGGUCUGCAGUCGAUACGAGCAAACUAGAGUGUUGCAGGGGAGACUGGAAUUCCUGGUGUAGCGGUGAAAUGCGCAGAUAUCAGGAGGAACACCGGUGGCGAAGGCGGGUCUCUGGGCAACAACUGACGCUGAGGAGCGAAAGCGUGGGGAGCGAACCGG